AUCUGCUCACAUUACCUAGGAAAUUCCAAGGGGUUUAGGAGCCGGGUGACAGGAACAGAGAUGAACGCUAAACAUGUAUUUCUUAUGAGUCACAGUAUCACACAAAGCUUGGUGGAGAAAGGAUGGGUAUGGGGGGGGGGCAGUUAGGGACCCCCAUAGAAGAGGACUGGGAAGGAAUGAGGUCAGGAUUAGUGGAGCCAGAGAGAUCCUGUGUGACUGGCCAGGAGGCCUGGCCCCUAUCGGGAAACCAUAGAUAAAAGAGCUUCAGUGACAGGAGAGGCUCCAAAGUGACCACAGACUCCCCCACAAAGGGAACCUGGCUCCGCAGGCGGCUGGACCUGCAGGCACUGAUGCAACACACAACUGUGACAUGCCAGGCAGGCUGUCCCCUGCUCUCCCCCUCCCCCUGCCCCCCAGGAACAGCCGCCCCUCUCCUAGAAGGGGGAAGGGGAUGGAGGGUGAAGCCAGAGAACUAGACUCUUCCUCUGUGCCUGCAACUUCCUCUGCCUAACUGGAAGAGGGAGAUGCUUUCAACUGAAUGGAGCUUGGAGUUGUGAUAUCCCACUGGCAAGGUGUUAUAUGGAUACAUUACAAAAUUCAGAGAACAAAAGGAUGGAAAGCUUUCUCACUGCAAGUGAAACAUCAAGCCUCUUUCUCUCCCCUUUCCCACCCAACUAACUCCUUGACUAUUACAACAUGACUACUACUACAACCCCUUGAUGAGGUACUUUUGUAAACUUCUCCCCUUUCAUUCUUGGUGGGUAGAAUAUGAAUUACUACUGUCUACAGACGAGGAAAUUGAGGUUUGAAUGUGUUUCUCAUCCAAGGUUUCAUGCCCAAUAAACAGAAGAACCAAAACUAAACCUGUAUUUUU
rnacentral:lncRNA from 1 species